rnacentral:rRNA from 1 species
CAUGCAAGUCGAGCGGUAACAGGCAUUUUGAUUCAGCUUGCUGAAUCUCGCGCUGACGAGCGGCGGACGGGUGAGUAACGCGUAGGAAUCUACCUAGUAGAAGGGGAUAGCCCGGGGAAACUCGGAUUAAUACCGUAUACGUCCUUAGGGAGAAAGAGGGCUUAGCUUUGAUGCUCUCGCUAUUAGAUGAGCCUGCGUAAGAUUAGCUUGUUGGUGAGGUAAAGGCUCACCAAGGCUACGAUCUUUAGCUGGUCUGAGAGGACGAUCAGCCACAUUGGGACUGAGACACGGCCCAGACUCCUACGGGAGGCAGCAGUGGGGAAUAUUGGACAAUGGGCGCAAGCCUGAUCCAGCCAUACCGCGUGUGUGAAGAAGGCCUUCGGGUUGUAAAGCACUUUAAGUAAGGAAGAAAAGUAUAUUGUUAAUACCAAUGUACCGUGACAUUACUUACAGAAUAAGGACCGGCUAAUUCCGUGCCAGCAGCCGCGGUAAUACGGAAGGUCCAAGCGUUAAUCGGAAUUACUGGGGCGUAAAGCGCGCGUAGGUGGUUUAUUAAGUUGGGUGUGAAAGCCCGGGCUCAACCUGGGAACUGCAUCCAAA